rnacentral:rRNA from 1 species
UACGUAGGGUGCGAGCGUUAAUCGGAAUUACUGGGCGUAAAGCGUGCGUAGACGGUUGCGUAAGUCAGAUGUGAAAGCCCCGGGCUCAACCUGGGAAUUGCAUUGAGACUGCGUAGCUAGGGUGCGGAAGAGGGAAGCGGAAUUUCCGGUGUAGCGGUGAAAUGCGUAGAUAUCGGAAGGAACACCAGUGGCGAAAGCGGCUUCCUGGUCCAGCACCGACGUCAGGCACGAAAGCGUGGGGAGCAAACAGG